CGGCCCAGACUCCUACGGGAGGCAGCAGUGAGGAAUAUUGGUCGAUGGGCGAGAGCCUGAACCAGCCAAGUAGCGUGCAGGAUGACGGCCCUAUGGGUUGUAAACUGCUUUUAUAAGGGAAUAAAGUGAGUCUCGUGAGGCUUUUUGCAUGUACCUUAUGAAUAAGGACCGGCUAAUUCCGUGCCAGCAGCCGCGGUAAUACGGAAGGUCCGGGCGUUAUCCGGAUUUAUUGGGUUUAAAGGGAGCGUAGGCCGGAGAUUAAGCGUGUUGUGAAAUGUAGACGCUCAACGUCUGCACUGCAGCGCGAACUGGUUUCCUUGAGUACGCACAAAGUGGGCGGAAUUCGUGGUGUAGCGGUGAAAUGCUUAGAUAUCACGAAGAACUCCGAUUGCGAAGGCAGCUCACUGGAGCGCAACUGACGCUGAAGCUCGAAAAGUGCGGGUAAUCGAACAGGAUUAGAUACCCUGGUAGUCCGCACGGUAAACGAUGGAUGCCCGCUGUGGGUCUGAAUAGGUCAGCGGCCAAGCGAAAGCAUUAAGCAUCCCACCUGGGGAGUACGCCGGCAACGGUGAAACUCAAAGGAAUUGACGGGGGGCCCGCACAAUGCGGAGGAACAUGUGGUUUAAUUUCGAUGAUACGCGAGGAACCUUACCCGGGGCUUGAAUUGCAGAGGAAGGGAUUUGGAGACAAAUGACGCCCUUCGGGGCCUCUGUGAAGGUGCUGCAUGGGUUGUCGUCAGCUCGUGCCGUGUGGUGUCGGCUUAAGUGCCAUAACGAGCGCAACCCCUCUCCUUAGUUGCCAUCAGUUGAAGCUGGGCACUCUGGGGACACUGCCACCGUAAGGUGUGAGGAAGGUGGGGAUGACGUCAAAUCAGCACGGCCCUUACGUCCGGGGCUACACACGUGUUACAAUGGCAGGUACAGAGAGACGGUCCCUUGCAAAACGGAUCAAAUCCUUAAAGCCUGUCUCAGUUCGGACUGGGGUCUGCAACCCGACCCCACGAAGCUGGAUUCGCUAGUAAUCGCGCAUCAGCCAUGGCGCGGUGAAUACGUUCCCGGGCCUUGUACACACCGCCCGUCAAGCCAUGAAAGCCGGGGGCGCCUAAAGUCCGUGACCGUAAGGAGCGGCCUAGGGCGAAACUGGUAAUUGGGGCUAAGUCGUAACAAGGUAGCCGUAG
rnacentral:rRNA from 1 species